rnacentral:rRNA from 1 species
AAGUAGUGAAGCUCAUGGACGUACUGCCGAGAAAAGCCACUAUUGUGUAUCAUCAGCCCGUACCGUAAACCGACACAGGUGGAUGAGGAGAGAAUCCUAAGGCCGGCGGGAGAAGCAUUGUUAAGGAACUCGGCAAAAUGUCCCCGUAACUUCGGGAUAAGGGGAGCCUGCGAGAGCAGGCCGCAGAGAAGAGGCUCAAGCAACUGUUUAGCAAAAACACAGGUCUAUGCGAAACCGAAAGGUGAGGUAUAUGGGCUGACGCCUGCCCGGUGCUGGAAGGUUAAGAGGAGAGGUUAGCGCAAGCGAAGCUUUGAAUUUAAGCCCCAGUAAACGGCGGCCGUAACUAUAACGGUCCUAAGGUAGCGAAAUUCCUUGUCGGGUAAGUUCCGACCCGCACGAAAGGCGUAAUGAUUUGAGCACUGUCUCGGCAAUGCACCCGGUGAAAUUGAAGUACCAGUGAAGAUGCUGGUUACCCGCGCCAGGACGGAAAGACCCCAUGGAGCUUUACUCCAGGUUGAUACUGGGAUUCGGUACUGUAUGUACAGGAUAGGUGGGAGACUUUGAAGUGAUGACGUCAGUUGUCAUGGAGUCGCUGUUGGGAUACCACCCUUAUAGUACUGGGUUUCUAACCAAGGACCGUGAAACCGGUCCGGGGACAAUGUCUGCCGGGGAGUUUGACUGGGGCGGUCGCCUCCGAAAGGGUAUCGGAGGCGCUCGAAGGUUCCUUCAGAAUGGACGGAAACCAUUCGUAGAGUGCAAAGGCAGAAGGGAGCCUGACUGUGACACCGACGGGUGGAACAGAUACGAAAGUAGGACUUAGUGAUCCGGUGGCAUGAAAGUGGGAUUGCCAUCGCUCAACGGAUAAAAGCUACCCUGGGGAUAACAGGCUUAUCACUCCCAAGAGUUCACAUCGACGGAGUGGUUUGGCACCUCGAUGUCGGCUCAUCGCAUCCUGGGGCUGUAGCAGGUCCCAAGGGUUGGGCUGUUCGCCCAUUAAAGCGGUACGCGAGCUGGGUUCAGAACGUCGUGAGACAGUUCGGUCCCUAUCCGGCGCGGGCGUAGGAUAUCUGAGAGGAGCUGUCCUUAGUACGAGAGGACCGGGAUGGACGGACCGCUGGUGUAUCAGCUGCAUCGCCAGAUGCAUAAGGCUGGGUAGCCAAGUCCGGAAGGGAUAAACGCUGAAGGCAUCUAAGCGUGAAGCCCCCCUCAAGAUGAGAUAUCCCUCCUUUGUGGAGUAAGACCCCUUAGAGACUAUGAGGUAGAUAGGCACAAGGUGUAAGCAUGGUAACAUGUUCAGCUGAUGUGUACUAAUAGGUCGAGGGCUUGUCCA